rnacentral:rRNA from 1 species
GAGUUUGAUCGUGGCUCAGAUUGAACGCUGGCGGCAGGCCUAACACAUGCAAGUCGAGCGGAUGACGGGAGCUUGCUCCUUGAUUCAGCGGCGGACGGGUGAGUAAUGCCUGGGAAUCUGCCUGGUAGUGGGGGACAACGUUUCGAAAGGAACGCUAAUACCGCAUACGUCCUACGGGAGAAAGCGGGGGACCUUCGGGCCUUGCGCUAUCAGAUGAGCCUAGGUCGGAUUAGCUAGUUGGUGGGGUAAUGGCUCACCAAGGCGACGAUCCGUAACUGGUCUGAGAGGAUGAUCAGUCACACUGGAACUGAGACACGGUCCAGACUCCUACGGGAGGCAGCAGUGGGGAAUAUUGGACAAUGGGCGAAAGCCUGAUCCAGCCAUGCCGCGUGUGUGAAGAAGGUCUUCGGAUUGUAAAGCACCUUAAGUUGGAGGAAGGGCAGUAAGUUAAUACCUUGCUG